rnacentral:rRNA from 1 species
GAUGAACGCUGGCGGCGUGCUUAACACAUGCAAGUCGAACGGAAAGGCCCAGCUUUUGUGGGGUACUAGAGUGGAGAGGGGGUGUGUAACGCGUGAGUACCCUGCUCGUGACUGUGGGAUACCUUCGGGACUCAGGGUAUAAUUCCGGAUAAGUGCUCAUCGUGCGUGGUGGGGGGGGGAGAGUUUCGGUGGUUGGGGAUGGACUCGCGGCUUAUCAGCUUGUUGGUGGGGUAGUGGCUUACCAAGGCCUUGACGGGUAGCCGGCCUGAGAGGGUGACCGGCCACACUGGGACUGAGAUACGGCCCAGACUCCUACGGGAGGCAGCAGUGGGGAAUAUUGCACAAUGGGCGGAAGCCUGAUGCAGCAACGCCGCGUGCGGGAUGACGGCCUUCGGGUUGUAAACCGCUUUCGCCUGUGACGAAGCGUGAGUGACGGUAAUUGGUAAAGAAGCACCGGCUAACUACGUG